rnacentral:lncRNA from 1 species
GAUUAUCCGAACCACACAAGCAUGCAACGAUUUAAAUCAAAAGACUCAAAAGACUCCAUGAAUCGCCCACCCCAAACUUGAUACUGGCAUUGUCAUCAAUGUGUCACACCCCCAUUCAUAUAGAUAACUAUCCAUUAAUCUGCAUAGGAAUGAAAUUGAUGACUUUGACCUAGACAUAGAAUUUCAUACAUUUUUUUCACCUGAUAAAAUGGCAUAAACUAUGUCUCUAAACCAAAAUCAUAUUGCCAUAAUCAAACAUAUACAUUUUGAGGUUAUAAACAUAUCUACAUGCCAUGUCAAAAGAUAUAUAACAUAGGAUUCCCAACAUACAACACAAUAGGCCAUAAGCUCAAAAUAGCAGCCCGCAAAAUAACCCUACAGGUCAUCAUCCAUGUACAUCAAACUCUGGAAUCCCGUAAGAGCUCCACAGCUAGCCGUGCUUUCUAUGUAGUUCCAAGCUCACCUACAAUGCAAGAACUACAAAAGCCAAUGCUUAGUAAGCAAAAAUCAUGCACGUUAUGAAUAUGAAUAUGAAUAACAACGAUAUAUGCCACUAUGCUAUUUACUUUAAACAUAACAAUAAAGAAGUAUCGUAUUCCAAUAUUCAUCAAAAUCGACUCGAAAUCAUUUUAUUUGAAACCUUUAAUUUCAUUGGGCCCUUGACUCACUUACUAUGCAUCGGAUAGAGCUCUGCAUAAUAUCAAUAUCAAUAAUCAAAUGGCCAAUAUGAAAUCGACAUCGGCGAGUAGACCAUCCUCUCGUGACCAUUAGAGGCCUAUCCCCUAACUAUCCCUAUGAUCACCCAAAAAGUCUCCCACCUGGCAGCGCCAAUUAUCAUAAUAUCACAAAGGCAUAGUCGAGUGGUCUACCCUCCUGUGAUCACUAAAGGCACAUCUUCUGUCUACCUUUGCAAUCACCAAGGAAGUAUCACCCGUGAUGCCAAGCAUAUCAUAUAAGCAUGCCUCACAUGCCUUAGUAGUGGUCAAUAAAAUAUUUAUAAAAAAAACUUAAUUUGAAAUUAUGUUUCGCAUGCAGGAUUUUCUAUCAUGAUCACAUGUCAUGCAUGUAUAUAAAAAUGCUUAUGAAUGACAUAUUUAAUGAAAAUCACUAUCAAUAGGUAUCGCAACCGUAUACUCAAUGACAUAACCAUGAUAUGAUAUGCAAUGAACCUCUUAUGAAAGUUAUCUAAAUCUUCUAAUAUUACCACAUCACAAUUACUAGGUUCUUGCAUCAUAGUUGCAAAUGAAUUUUUACUUACCUUUCGCCUUUGUGUGUGCAAGCUCUUACGAAGUGUAUAUCAGUUUUCUUUUUCGCUCAAAGUUGAAAAAUCACCUAUAUUACCAUAUAAUAUUAAAGACAAUCCUCCAUUUAAUAAAUUAACACACACAAUCCCAAAAUACGUCCAUUCACACCAAAACAAUUUAGACGAAAUCAUUAUUGCAAGUUACCAAUGGCAUUACAAGCUAAUCCCAUAAGUCUCACUAUUUUUCUAGUCUAAUUAUGAACGUCAACGUCAUCCAAUUGUUGUCACUAACCUAGUACCUUAGAAUCUAUUUUCUAGGCGCAAGAGAUCAUUAAUGGUCAUAUAAAUGUUGAAAUCACAUUAAAUACCCAAAUGAACAGAAUCUGUUUUCAGAUUUUCAUUACCGUCCAAUUAUUUUUCCAGUCCUUUUUCACCUCCUUAACUAUAUCCGACGACUCCCAAAUUCUUACCACCCACCUAUAACAUAGAUGUGAAGAUAAUAAGUCAUAAGGUUGUGACAAAUGAAGGGUUUUGAGCUUCAAAAACAGUCCAUUUUUCACUACACAAAAUCAGGCAGUUUUUAUUUUCCUUGUGACAGUUUUCAGUUUCCAUUGUAUUAGUAUGAUACCAAUAGAAUUAUAGGCCAUUAAAAAUCAUUUCUACACUUCAUACUUACAUAUAAAAACGUUCAUAUUGAUAUAUAUAAGUUACACACUAAGUAUCAUCCCAAAAUCAAGGUAUAAACCACUCAAAUCCAGCAACCUACAUCUCUGCCCAGGUUGUUUUCCCUCAAGUUCUUGUAAAUAAUUAACUCUAUUUUGGCAUCAUAAAAUCAUUAACAACACUCCAAUCUAAUCACAAGCAAGUUCAUAUGUUCAAGAAAUUAUAAACCCCUUAAGAAAUAAUGGAUACAAACAUCAAAACCGUGAAGUAACAAAGCUCUCCAGAAAUUCCAGCUUCUUGUUUUCUUAUCCCUUUUUUGCUUCCUUUGCUUUCACGUCCACUUGGGGUCAGUUGGGGUUAUCUUUGAAGAGUCAUAUCUCUUACUCAGGAGCUAUUUAAGAUUCUUAAGGAUUGGGGUCAUGAAUGAUACUUAAAGGUGAAGGAAUUUGUGAUUACAAGACAAGUAUUCCCCAAGCAUGAGGUGUCCAAGCAGAAUGUGGCUCCUUGCAGCCAAAUCUGACUUUUCUCCUACCUUAUAUGGAGUAAUUUGUGACUUAGGAGAUGCAUAUCUAUCCCAUGUAAAGUUAUAAGGAUUUAGAAGAUGU